UUUGACAUAUGAAUGCCAUGUGACCCUAUAUAUUGCUAGUAAUUAGCUCACCUGAGCUGAAAGCUCAAGUGAGCUUUUCUGAUCACCUUUUGUCCGUCGUCCGUCUGUCCAUCUGUCCGUCCGUCCGUCUGUCCGUCCUUCUUUAAACUUUUUACAUUUUGAACUUCUUCUCUAAAACCGCUUAUCCAAUUUCAACCAAAUUUAGCACAAAGCAUCUUUAUGGGAUGGCGAAUAUAGAUUGCAGGAAUAAAAGUCCGAUCUGUAUUCAAAGCGGUGAAAACCUUGAAACUGUAGAAAAAGGGGGGUGCAAUUUUGAAAAUCUUCUUUUCAAGAACUACUGAUUCCAAUUCAACGUAGCUUAGCAUAAAUUAUCCUUAUGGGAAGGAAAAUAUAAAUUGCAAAAAUUAAGGUCUAAUUCUGUUUCAAAUCUGGGUUAUUGCGAAAAUAAUAAUAAAGGAAAGGCGUGUUUCAAUCGGGCUCGGCAUCCGGUAAAUGGGUAGACAAGACUUGGCCUGGGCAAAACAAAAGAUUGGCAGUUAUUAAUCUGCCAAUCUCAUUAAAAUUUCAGGAUAUUUGAUGGACCAGUAUAUUUGUAUUUGCUGUAAAUAUUGCUGCAAAAUAAUGCGUAUUUGGAAUUGACGAUUGCUGAUUUCGUCUUUAUUACUCCUACUGUACAUGUGAUCCUUGACUGUGUUUGUGUACAUUUGUAUAAACUGAUUUUGAACCUCAAAUACCAUUGAACCGGUCUUGAGUGAAUAAAAGAAUUGAAAAUCUUAGGCCAUUCUUUUUUUCCAUUUUAAAUGCUGGAUAGGAAAUACCAAGUUAAAAAUCUUAAGCUGAAUGUAAUAAACUCAUGUGGAAAAAAUAUGACUCAAACCUAGGCGAACUGUGAGCUAUGCAUCUUGCUUAUAAUUCUACGAUUGACGCUGAAAUUUUGGUUGAACAUUGGAAAUUCUAUAUGUCGAAUUAGAGUAUGUUAAAUACUUGUACAAACAAAAUAAAGAAUGAUAUUCUGUAUAAACCUACUCUCUGGGGCCCCCUCUUUAUACAAUAAAUAAUGUGAAAUCUACAUCAAUUUUGAUAGUUUUUCAGACACGGGUUAAUAAAAACGACAUCUUUAAAACAGUUUCCAUAGUUCUGACACAUUUCUGUUGCGGGGAUAAAGUAAUUAUCGCUAUUCCUAAGAAAAUAUUACAGCGGAAAAUUAUCCUGGUUUGUACUCGAAGUAAAUAACAGUCAUUUAAUUAUAAUGGAGAAGACAAAUAAAAUUUUUUAAUGUUUUUAAUUUGAGGAAUUGAGCACAUUGAGGUACAAUUUUCUUCUUCACAUCCGAGGGACCAUACGAAACAAUAUCUUUUGAACGCCAUUGUUGCUCAGGUGAGCGAUGUGGCCCCAUGGGCCUCUUGUUUUUUGAUAGUGAACUUUCAGAUGUGGCCAAAGACAUACAUCUUUAAGUAAAAUACUUAACUAGCCAGGGGUGUUUAGUUACAUUGAGUUAUAUGGGAAAUGAAUUGAUACUCUUUUCCCUAAUAAAGUUGCAAAUAUGUGACUUUUUUAAUUUGAUUUUAUGACCAAAAUUUAAAAGUAUUGUGCAUAUUCAUGACUGAGGAAAUUCUUGCUUGCGAUUGUCUAUUAUCUGAUUGGGGUCAGAGUUUAAGUGAUUCUUACCUCACCUGAGCCGAGCUUUUCAGAUCAAAAUUUGUCCAUCGUUGUCAUUGUCACUGUUGGUGUUGUUGCUUAAAUAUUUCACUUUUAAUUUUUAUCUAAUCUUAGAACCACUGAGCCUAUUUCAACCAAACUUGGCUUAAAGCAUCAAAUUUUAAAUUUUGUUCAAAUGAAGAGCCAGGUCCCUUUUAAAGGGGAGAUCAUUUAGAAUCAUCAAAGAUUUAAAAUCAUCAAAAAUAGAUCAUUAAAAAUUUGUGGGUUUUUGAAAAAGAAAUUAUAAAAGAUAAACAAUUGGCCAAAAAAGCUGUAAUUUGUGUGGAAGCAUCCCUAGGAAGUGUUUUUUCAGGUUGUUCAUAUCAUGAUCUCUGCAGGAAGGGUGGAGUCAGGAAUCACAAUGGGGGAUUGAAUUUUUACAUAUGAAUCUAUAUAGAGAAAAGUCUUUAAAAAUCUUUUCGAAAACCAACUGGCAAGACAAUUUGUAACUUGUGAGGAAACAUCCUUAGGUAGGAAGAUUCAAGUUUGUUCAAAUCAUAAUCCUUGGUAGGAAAGGUGGGGUAGGAUUGCUGGGGGGGGGGGGGUGUUGUGUUUGAACUUUUAAAAAAAUCUUUUUCUCAAAAACUAAUCAACCAGACAAGCUGAAUCUUGUGUGGAUAACCCUUAGGUAGUGCUGAUUCAAGUCUAUUUUACUACCUUGUUCAGAAAGUUUGUUUGACUCCAUAAUUUAAACUGAUUUUUAAUGGCUGUCGUUACUCAGGUAAGCAAUGUGGCCCAUGGGCCUCUUGUUACUGAACUCUUUGCAAUGUUACAUUUGCAAAAAUAAACUUCCUAGGUAGUAUAUGAAAGUGACCAACAGCUAUAGCUACAUGUGUGGCUCUAUGUCCUGUCCCCUUAGGAUCUGUUCACUUCCUCAUACAACCUUUUGCGGUGUCUGUUGUAGUGGCUCAUCUUACAUCAAAUGGAAUGGAUCCAUGCCAGGAUUCACUUUUCCUUCCCAUGCUGGUUCCAGUCCAGUAAACUGUCACAGUCUGGGAAAUUCUGUCACUGGUGAUGCCGCAGAAAGAAAACACUAUGGAUGCACAUGAUGCUACUUCCUGAAUGGUGCUGAACCUGUUUGUCAACAUGUGGAACCCAUGUGUACUUGAGGGAGAAGUCUCCCUUGAUAAAGUUCAACAAUGGCGGAUAAACAAUGUGGGAUGCUGUCUUGUCAACAACAGUGAAAUUUGACACCUGUAUACCCAUAUUUCUACCAAUUGUCUCAGUCU